CGAGCGAUCUUAACCUUUACGGAAACUUCAUCUAGGGAAUUGGUUGAAGCCAAAACAGCCAUUGAAGGUUUCUUCUGCAGAGUAUAGAAUAAGUUAGAAGUUGAAACAUGAGAACACUGAGAAUAUGCAAAAAGGUGGAACAUAUAUAUAUAUAUAUUCAAUUUUAAGAAUGACAUGUAUGAUAUUACAAAAAUAUAUCUAUUUAUAUACAGAUAUAGAAAUGCAUGCGUGUAGAGAUAUAGAUAUAUAGGAAAAUAAACCAUGGGACAGAUACUGAGACAAUAAACUAGAAAGAAAAAAGAAGUAACAUACAAGCUAAGGUGAAUUAAAAUCUUCAAACAACAGAGAAUAACUAUACCUAUACUACAUACAUGAAUACAUAUAUAUAUAUGAAUAUAUAUGUAUAUAUCAAGAUAUAUGUCAAGCAAAAGUAUGUGAUAAGCAGAAGACUCACGCAAUAUAACACUAUAAUACCAUCAAGCAGAGAAAACUAGAGAGCUGAUGAAGGAAGAUGUGAGCAGACAACAAAAAUGGUCUCAAGAAAAGAAGUAAACUGAUGGGGAAGAAGAACACUGAGAAAAAACAUGGAGUUAGAGGAUUCAAUAUAUAGAAGAGCAAGAAGGAUGAG
rnacentral:lncRNA from 1 species